AACGAUGAACUCCAGCUUGCUGGGAGGAUUAGUGGCGAACGGGUGAGUAACACGUGAGUAACCUGCCCUUGACUCUGGGAUAAGCGCUAGAAAUGGCGUCUAAUACCGGAUACGAGCUUCAGCCGCAUGGCUAGGAGUUGGAAAGAAUUUUGGUCAAGGAUGGACUCGCGGCCUAUCAGCUAGUUGGUGAGGUAAUGGCUCACCAAGGCGACGACGGGUAGCCGGCCUGAGAGGGUGACCGGCCACACUGGGACUGAGACACGGCCCAGACUCCUACGGGAGGCAGCAGUGGGGAAUAUUGCACAAUGGGCGAAAGCCUGAUGCAGCAACGCCGCGUGAGGGAUGACGGCCUUCGGGUUGUAAACCUCUUUUAGUAGGGAAGAAGCGAAAGUGACGGUACCUGCAGAAAAAGCACCGGCUAACUACGUGCCAGCAGCCGCGGUAAUACGUAGGGUGCAAGCGUUGUCCGGAAUUAUUGGGCGUAAAGAGCUCGUAGGCGGUUUGUCGCGUCUGCUGUGAAAUCUGGGGGCUCAACCCCCAGCCUGCAGUGGGUACGGGCAGACUAGAGUGCGGUAGGGGAGAUUGGAAUUCCUGGUGUAGCGGUGGAAUGCGCAGAUAUCAGGAGGAACACCGAUGGCGAAGGCAGAUCUCUGGGCCGUAACUGACGCUGAGGAGCGAAAGCGUGGGGAGCGAACAGGAUUAGAUACCCUGGUAGUCCACGCCGUAAACGUUGGGAACUAGAUGUGGGG
rnacentral:rRNA from 1 species